rnacentral:rRNA from 1 species
UACGUAGGGGGCUAGCGUUGUUCGGAAUCAUUGGGCGUAAAGAGCGUGUAGGCGGCCCGGUAAGUCCGCUGUGAAAGUCGGGGGCUCAACCCUCGAAUGCCGGUGGAUACUGCCGGGCUAGAGUGCGGAAGAGGCGAGUGGAAUUCCUGGUGUAGCGGUGAAAUGCGCAGAUAUCAGGAGGAACACCAAAUGCGAAGGCAGCUCGCUGGGACGUAACUGACGCUGAGACGCGAAAGCGUGGGGAGCAAACAGG